CCUACGGGAGGCAGCAGUGGGGAAUAUUGCACAAUGGGGGAAACCCUGAUGCAGCGACGCCGCGUGAAGGAAGAAGUAUUUCGGUAUGUAAACUUCUAUCAGCAGGGAAGAAAAUGACGGUACCUGACUAAGAAGCCCCGGCUAACUACGUGCCAGCAGCCGCGGUAAUACGUAGGGGGCAAGCGUUAUCCGGAUUUACUGGGUGUAAAGGGAGCGUAGGCGGUUUAGCAAGUCAGAAGUGAAAGCCCGGGGCUCAACUCCGGGACUGCUUUUGAAACUGUUGAACUAGAGUGCAGGAGAGGUAAGGGGAAUUCCUAGUGUAGCGGUGAAAUGCGUAGAUAUUAGGAGGAACACCAUGGGCGAGGGCGGCUUACUGGACUGUAAAUGACGCUGAGGCUCGAAAGCGUGGGGAGCAAACAGGAUUAGAUACCCGGGUAGUC
rnacentral:rRNA from 1 species